GGAGGUUUUGUGGCCCUCCGGAUUCGCCCUGCGGGGGGAGAUUCCAAAGCACCUCAAGCUGCGUUAGCUGAAGACUGUCGUGGUGAGCGUUGAGGAAAAGGCGCACGAGAGGCGUCAGC
rnacentral:ncRNA from 1 species